AAAAUACUUGAUUGGAGAGAUUAUAUAAAUUCAUGAUUGGAUGAAUGUUUCUACCAACUGCCGUAACAGUUGACUAUAAUGCUCAAUGGGAGUAGU
rnacentral:ncRNA from 2 species